GGGGUAACCAUAAGGCUAGAUCGUGACAGGUAAGCGAAAUCUUAGGAAAGUAGCGAAGCACAUGAUGACGGCUUCCAGGAAAAGCUUCUGGCAAUGCAUAUGCGGCCCGUACCAAAACCGACACAGGUGGGCAGGGAGAGAAUCCCGAGGUGAGCGAGAGAACUGUUGCCAAGGAACUCGGCAAAAUGACUCCGUAAGUUAGCGAGAAGGAGUGCUUAAGCAAUUAAGCCGCAGUGAAGAGGCCCAAGCGACUGUUUAACUAAAACACAGCUCUCUGCGUAGUCGCAAGACGAAGUAUAGGGGGUGACACCUGCCCGGUGCUGGAAGGUUAAGAGGAUCUGUUAAGAGCGAUCUGAAGCAGUGAUCCGAAGCCCCAGUGAACGGCGGCCGUAACUAUAACGGUCCUAAGGUAGCGAAAUUCCUUGUCAGGUAAGUUCUGACCCGCACGAAAGGUGUAACGAUUUGGGCGCUGUCUCGGCAGCAGACUCGGUGAAAUCUUAGUACCUGUGAAAAUGCAGGUUACCCGCAACUAGACGGAAAGACCCCAUGGAGCUUUACUGCAGCCUGAUAUUGAAUUCUGGUCAUACAUGUACAGGAUAGGUGGGAGACAAAGAGACGUGCACGCCAGUGUACGAGGAGUCGACGUUGGGAUACCACUCUUGUGUGACUGGGGUUCUAACCUGGUAUCGAGAACAGGUACGGGGAGAGUGUCAGGUGGGCAGUUUGACUGGGGCGGUCGCCUCCCAAAGAGUAACGGAGGCGCCCAAAGGUACGCUCAGAUUGGAUGGAAACCAAUCGUCGAGUGCAAUUGCAGAAGCGUGCUUGACUGUGAGACAGACAAGUCGAACAGGGACGAAAGUCGGGAAUAGUGAUCCGGCGGUGCCGAAUGGAAGGGCCGUCGCUCAACGGAUAAAAGCUACCCUGGGGAUAACAGGCUGAUCUCGCCCAAGAGUUCACAUCGACGGCGAGGUUUGGCACCUCGAUGUCGGCUCAUCGCAUCCUGGAGCUGGAUUCGGUUCCAAGGGUUGGGCUGUCCGCCCAUUAAAGCGGUACGCGAGCUGGGUUCAGAACGUCGUGAGACAGUUCGGUCCCUAUCUGUUGUGGGCGAAGGAGAUCUGCGGAGAGCUGUCCUCAGUACGAGAGGACCGGGAUGGACCUACCGCUGGUGCACCGGUCGUUCCGCCAGGGGCAUAGCCGGGUAGCUAAGUAGGGAAAGGAUAAGCGCUGAAAGCAUCUAAGCACGAAGCCUACUCCAAGAUGAGAUCUCCCAUUCGCAAGAAGUAAGACCCCUUAAAGACGAUAAGGUAGAUAGGCCAGGGAUGGAAGUGCAGUGAUGUACGGAGUUGACUGGUACUAAUCGGUCGAGGACUUAAUCAA
rnacentral:rRNA from 1 species